UGGUGGUUACCUUAGUUACUUUCAGAACACGGCAUUGAUUGCUAGGAAGUAUUGAUUGCAUGCAUUGGCGAUGGGAGAAGUGUCCUCUUGCAUGGAGGGGGCAAUUCACCCGCGGCGAUUAUGGAGUACCAACGAUGAUCCUAGAAGCCGUUGCUUCCCAGGACCUUCGUAUUUGGCAUGCUUUUCUUGGAGUUGCUGGGUCAAAUAAUGAUCUGAAUGUGCUCAAUCAAUCCCCACUGUUUUUUGAUGCACUGAAAGGAGAAGCCCCUCAAGUCCAAUUUUCUGUCAAUGGGAAUGAGUAUACCACAGGUUACUGCCUUGCUGAUGGUAUAUACCCAGAAUGGGCUGCCUUCAUGAAGACUAUACCACUUCCCCAAAUAGAGAAGCACAAGUUGUUUGCCCAGAAGCAAGAAGGGGCAAGGAAAGAUGUCGAGGGCGCUUUUGGGGUAUUACAGUCCCGUUUUACCAUUGUCCGUCGGCCUGCACGUCUAUGGAAGAGAAAGAGUGUUGGAAGGAUCAUGAGGGCUUGUGUGAUUCUCCAUAAUAUGAUAAUCGAAGAUGAGAGAGAGCAAGCAAAAAUUCAUAUUGACUUGAAUGAGAUUCCGGGGGCUUCAUUUGCUCUACCUCCCGAAGUGAAUGUUGGUGGUAAUCUAUGUUUCGCAGAUGUGUUGCGUAGAAAAGCUACUAUUCGUGCUCGUCCACAGCAUGCCCAACUUAAAAGUGAUUUAGUCGAGCAUAUCUGGCAUAAGUUUCAAAACAGCCAUCAUAAUUAAUCAUGGAGUGAGCUGUGAUGUGGUGAUUGCGGCAGCUGUUACUUAUAGUGGUUGAAGGUUAUUGAUGCAAAUGAGUGGUUGCUCCUUUCCAGCGAAGUACCCUCCAUGCUUUGUGACUUUUGUUAUCGUCCAGAUCAAAACUAUGAUUGUUGCUUGUGGUCGUGAACGGCUUGUUUGCCAGAGAUGUUAUCUAUUAUGUUUGCUGAAUGCUUUCUUAAAGACUUAAGUAAUCUUAAGUAAUUACUCAUGAUGCUAUGGAGUAGUAUGAUGCUGUGUGACAUGUUUGGAGUACUAUGAUGCUGUAUGACAUAUGUUUGUUGCCUAAAUGCCAGUCAGUCUUCCUA